UUUCUCGCUUCAUCCGCGGUCCCUGUCUGUUUUCGUUAUGGCGCCUUGUACUUCUACCCAACGUUGCCCGCCCCCCAUCUUCCCAGCCCACCAGCUCCGUCCGCCUCUCCGGAUGAUUCGUGAGAUACCGAGCCUGCCGGGAAGGGACCGGAUUUUUCCGUCUGGUCCAAGGAAGCACGGGUUAUGGCCACAUGCGCAGUGAUAACUCAGGGCCCCACGCCUUUUGACCCCUGUUGAUGAAGAUUGUGAGGAGGGAGACCAGAAGAUAAUGGACAACGAUACAGCAGAAGGGUCUGGUUACACUUGAGCUUAUUUCUUGGAAGAGUCUGAGAAGACGGCCUGUCAGGCUCCUAACACUAAGGGCCAUGUAACCAGUGAAGCAGCCAUUAUAUAUGAUUUGGUCUACACUUGUUGGGUAAGCUUAAGGAUUGUUAACCCUUUUCCUAAGUAGUAUAGCAGAAAUUCAGGUUUGCAUAGUGGCUAGCCAUCUAUAAGCCACCUCCAUAAUUUAUGUCUGAACUAGUUAGCUGUUCACAUCUGGGGCAAAGAUGUGUGCCAUGUUGGCUGGUAUUUGUCAAUUGAACAUUGCAUGAGUACAGACACUGGUCCAUGAUGAAACCCAUUAUCAGUGGACAUCUAUGGAUGAGAAAUGCGGAUAUGGGACUGAGACCAGUUCUUAGGAAAGCCUGAGUUGGGGAAUGAGCCUGAAGGUGGAACUAACAUAGACUUGCACUUCCUUUUCAGAAAAAUUCCACAAGAGGAUCUCCUGGAAGCUAGCAGAAGUUUUUGGCUUGUACAUUGCCAGGCAGCCAUUGGAAUCGGAGCUGCAGUCAGAUUAAGGCCAGCCUGGCCUACAUUGAGAAACCUCAUUUUGGGAAAGUGAAAUACUUUGUCAAUUAACAUGCAGUUGGUUCAAUAAAGACUUUUGGAAAGUG
rnacentral:lncRNA from 7 species